UGAUUCGAUUCCGUAAGUGAUGUCCGCGAAGCUAGUGACCAACUGGCGGUUCCCCAGCGGAUCGUUCUACCCGUGCUCGCUGUACAGUGUGGGAAACGAUGACAAAACCGUGUUUAUCGUUCCGGGCGAUCGCGAUGUCUACACGCUGGUGGUGAAGAACCUAACGGAAAAUAUCCGUUCCUGCGGCAGUCCGCACAAUGUGACCAACAUUAAGCUGGCGGACGCGAGCUUGGUGCAGAUCGUUGCGCUUGUGGAUCAUACCGUCGGUCUGAAGGAAAGUGGGGAGUUGGUGGUGUUUCCAUCGUCGCGCGAGUGUCGAACGCUUGAGGGAACAUCCGGAGUUCGGGCGAUCUGCGCGGUGGAAGGUGGAACGAAACUUGCUCUGAUGCGACUGCUGGAAGAGGACAGGCUACAGUUGGAGGUGGUUGACGAUGUGUCGGGUCCCCGGAUUGGGUCGAGUACGAGGACGUUCGAUUUGUCGUGGGAAAAGAGCGGAUUUCCAAUCAGCCGGAAGCAGCAAAGUUGUACGAUCGGGACGGUGUUGGUGCGAGCGGAAAGCUUGAAGUUGUUUCAACGAUUGCUUAAUUGCAAGGAUUUGGCUGAAGGGACGGAACUGAUACUGUUUACGCUUGAUAACGGACUGUAUUGGAUUAAGCUUGACGGUGAAAGCUACGAAGUCGUAGCGGUUAAACUUUUCCCAGUGAAGAUUAGGGAUUUUAACUAUGCUUCCUGUACGAGCUGCUUCAGCACACUGUUGGACAAUAAUGUACUGAACGUUUGCAGCAUUUCCGUUGAACCGGAAAAUCUUCUCAUCCAGGAGUCAAACAUCUGCCUGGGACACUGCGUAGAGGCACACGAAUUCGUUUCCGAAUUGGGACUUCUGGUUUACUCAAACGGUUCGCAGCUUGUCCAGCUGAAAUACUACUUCUCAGAACUCAGUAAAACCAUCGAGAAAGAAUCGAAGGAGUUUUCGCUAGCCGGCGUCGUCGCACUAACCUACCUGGAUCAUGCCAAAUUGGUAAUUUCAAUUACCGAAAACUGCCUCAUUUACUCAACACCGAUCACAUCCACCAACGAUCGGACUAACCUCCAGAAGAACGACUAUUUCGAACUGACCGACGAAGUCCUAAGUCAAGCCAAGCAGAUGACCUGCUUGCUCACGAACGAAGCCGAACUAAAUCGCAAAACCGUUCAACAAGUCGGCGAGGAAAAGACAAAGAUUGAAAUCCUUUCAAGCGUCUCGAAUCAGUCGUAUUUCAAAAACUUCGUCAAUGCCCACCUACGGUUUCACCGGGAGAUGCCGACCUUUUCGUCUGACGUAUUAUUGCUGGGAGAGGUUUCCGGCGACAUAAGACUAAUGGCCGAAGUGCAAUUUACGUUCAAGAACGAUUUCCAGCGAAUACUGAACCUGCAAAAGCAGUGGACGAUAGUCGUGGCAAUUGACGCCAAAGUGCACCACAUACAGCUCGAUGCAUUCAAUUCAGAUUGCAACUCCAUCCGCUUGCUGUACCCCCUCUCGGAGCAAUACUUCAUCCAAAAAGGACUUCCAACCAUUAUCGUAUCCCUAGUGCGAUUGGUCCACCACGCACGCGAUUGCCUUAGCCUCCAGAUACCAAUCAAGCUUCAAUCCAACGACGAUUUCGCCGACCUGCUUGAAUUCGGACGAGCUCAACCGCUCAACAAACUCGCAGCUGGGAGAAAAGAUCUGCACGAUACCAUCCGAUCGCUGAUCAACUUGAACGAGCGACGCCCGCUGCAAACAACUGCCAGCAUUGAGUAUCGCUUGAAAAUGCCACCAUCCGUUAGAAGUCUGGCAACCUUCCUCACCCGCGUUGGGUUUGCGGUGCCGGAAACGGUUAACGAAUCGACGGUGCAAGUUUACCUCUCCUUGGGAGGAGCCGAAGUGGAAGUACGGUGGGACGCAAUGGGCAAUGAGAUUUGCUUAAAAUCGUGCUCGCCGGCGAUUCUGAAGCUGGUGAAAACGGCGAGCUUCAGAGUUCAGUCGAAGGAUGGUGUAAGCAUGGACAAAUUGAAGACAAUCCAACUCCGGCUGACGCAGAGUGACCAACGAAGUGAGAACGUCAUUUCACUGUACCGGCAACUGCGUACAUCCACCAGCAACACGUGAACCUCGAUAGAAAAUCCUCCCCCCAAAAAUGGGUGCAUUUGCCCUAUGUUGUCCGAUUUGACGAGAGCGAGAGAGUUGUUGUUGGUGGUCUAAAAAGAAGGGAAAAGUUAUGUGGAGUUUCUUUAAAAUCUAAGUGAACUCAAAUUGAAGUUUGUUUAGUGGUUCAAAGUCAUGGACAUUCAGAAAACAGUGACAAACGCAACAUAAGUAGAGUGCAAUAUCGCAAGAGAAAGUAGUGUGAGCCAAAAAAAAGCUUGAUAUUUGGCACAAAACAUAUUGAACCGGGGAAAACAACGAUAGAAACCCCAAAUUGUGCUCCAAAAACAUUGGCCGCAAAUACAUCGAAAGCAGCAUAAACAUAAACUGAGCUGUGGGGUGUUAUCAUAUCCUGUCAGUCGCAGCAGAGUCUGGGAAGCUUUAUUAGUACCGACAUAUAGCUCUUUCUGUGUAUAGUAGAAGAGCUGCAUUGUCUCUCUUUCGAGUUGGGGCGUAAACCAGAUUCUGCUGCCGAUGGUUGGUGCUUGCUUGC